rnacentral:rRNA from 1 species
UACGUAGGGUGCAAGCGUUGUCCGGAAUUAUUGGGCGUAAAGAGCUCGUAGGCGGUUUGUCGCGUCUGCUGUGAAAACGCGAGGCUCAACCUCGGGCCUGCAGUGGGUACGGGCAGACUGGAGUGCGGUAGGGGAGAUUGGAAUUCCUGGUGUAGCGGUGGAAUGCGCAGAUAUCAGGAGGAACACCGAUGGCGAAGGCAGAUCUCUGGGCCGUAACUGACGCUGAGGAGCGAAAGCGUGGGGAGCGAACAGG